rnacentral:rRNA from 1 species
AGAGUUUGAUCCUGGCUCAGAGUGAACGCUGGCGGCAGGCCUAAUACAUGCAAGUCGAACGGCAGCACAGCAGAGCUUGCUCUGUGGGUGGCGAGUGGCGGACGGGUGAGGAAUACGUGGGAAUCUGCCCAGUCGUGGGGGAUAACGUAGGGAAACUUACGCUAAUACCGCAUGCGCCCUUCGGGGGAAAGCCGGGGACCUUCGGGCCUGGCGCGAUUGGAUGAGCCCACGUCGGAUUAGCUAGUUGGCGGGGUAAAGGCCCACCGAGGCGACGAUCCGUAGCUGGGUCUGAGAGGAUGAUCAGCCACACUGGAACUGAGACACGGUCCAGACUCCUACGGGAGGCAGCAGUAGGGAAUAUUGGACAAUGGGCGCAAGCCUGAUCCAGCCAUGCCGCGUGAGUGAAGAAGGCCCUCGGGUUGUAAAGCUCUUUUGUCCGGAAAGAAAAGCGCCGGGUUAAUACCCUGGUGUCCUGACGGUACCGGAAGAAUAAGCACCGGCUAACUUCGUG